rfam:Eutrema salsugineum unplaced genomic scaffold scaffold_4, whole genome shotgun sequence.
AAGCCGUUGUGUGGGCAUUGGUUAGUGUAGCUUCUAAACCGUUCCCAAGCUUCACUAAAGCUCUCGUUAUUGUGCUGCGUGAAACUUGAGAUCUGAUUCCUGAGCUU